CCUACGGGAGGCUGCAGUGGGGAAUAUUGCACAAUGGGGGAAACCCUGAUGCAGCGACGCCGCGUGAGUGAAGACGUCUCUCCGUAUGUAAAGCUCUAUUUGUAGGGAAGUAAAUUACGGUACGUGAUCAAUAUUCUCUGGCCAACUACGUUCCAGCAGCCGCGGUAAUACGGAGGGGGCAAGCGUUAUCCGGAUUUACUGGGUGUAAAGGGAGCGUAGACGGGAGCGCAAGUCAGAAGUGAAAUGCCGGGGCUUAACCGCGGAACUGCCAUGGAAACUGUGCGGCUGGAGUGCAGUAGAGGUAGGUGGAAUUCGUGGUGUAGCGGUGAAAUGCGUAGAUAUUACGAAGAACACCGAUGGCGAAGGCAGCUUACUAAACUGUAACUGACGUUGAGGCUCGAAAGCGUGGGGAGCAAACAGGAUUAGAUACCCUAGUAGUC
rnacentral:rRNA from 1 species